rnacentral:rRNA from 1 species
GUAACGCGUAUGCAACCUACCUUAUACUGAGGGAUAGCCCAGAGAAAUUUGGAUUAAUGCCCCAUAGUAUUUUUAUCUCGCAUGAGAUUGAAAUUAAAGCUUCGGCGGUAAAAGAUGGGCAUGCGUUCUAUUAGUUAGUUGGUGAGGUAACGGCUCACCAAGACUACGAUAGAUAGGGGUUCUGAGAGGAUAGUCCCCCACACUGGUACUGAGACACGGACCAGACUCC